rnacentral:ncRNA from 1 species
ACCGCUGGUGUUCGGGUUGUGUCGCCAGACGCAUUGCCCGGUAGCUAUGUUCGGACAGGAUAACCGCUGAAAGCAUCUAAGCGGGAAGCCCCUUCCAAGAUGAGAUCUCCCUGGACCCUUGAGGUCCCUGAAGAGCCGUUCAAGACCAGGACGUUGAUAGGUCGGGUGUGUAAGCGCUGCGAGGCGUUGAGCUAACCGAUACUAAUUGCUCGUGAGGCUUGACUAU